UCUUAUCAAGGACAGAAGUCAGAAGGUUCUUUCAUGGAAAUACUAGCGUGAUACUUUUCAGGCAAAUAUUAUAUGGUCUGGCAAAAGGAAGACCAAGUGAAAAAACAAAAAACUCAUUCUAUAAGUAAAUUGUUGAGUGCUAACUCAAACUCAAAGAACGAACAAACAAACAAAAAGAAGAAACAUUAGAGCCAGGGAUGUGAGGGAAACAAGAUUCUUUUUUGUUGUUGUUCAGAUUCAUAUGGAAGCUGAAGACCAUUGUGGCUACACUAUUCUGGACCUGAACUAGUUUUUAUGAGCAUUACAUAUUUUUUGGGGUUCUGUGAUUUUUAUUCAUUAAACAAGAUUUAAUUGCU